GAAACUGUUAAGUUCAGUAGCUUGCACAGGUGCUGCAUGGCUGUCGUCAGCUCGUGCCGUGAGGUGUUCGGUUAAGUCCUGCAACGAGCGCAACCCUCGUGGUUAGUUGAAUUUCUCUAGCCAGACCGCCCGCAAACGGGGAGGAAGGUGGGGAUGACGUCAAGUCAGCAUGGCCCUUAUACCCUGGGCCACACACACGCUACAAUGGACGGUACAAUUGGUAGCGACAGAGCGAUCUGGAGCCAAUCUAUAAAGCCGUCCUCAGUUCGGAUUGUCCUCUGCAACUCGAGGGCAUGAAGGCGGAAUCGCUAGUAAUCGCGGAUCAGCAUGCCGCGGUGAAUACGUUCCCAGGCCUU
rnacentral:rRNA from 1 species